rnacentral:rRNA from 1 species
GAUGAACGCUGGCGGCGUGCCUAAUACAUGCAAGUAGAACGCUGAAGCUUGGUGCNGCACCGAGCGGAUGAGUUGCGAACGGGUGAGUAACGCGUAGGUAACCUGCCUCUUAGCGGGGGAUAACUAUUGGAAACGAUAGCUAAUACCGCAUAAAAGUCGAUAUCGCAUGAUAUUGACUUGAAAGGUGCAAUUGCAUCACUAAGAGAUGGACCUGCGUUGUAUUAGCUAGUUGGUGAGGUAACGGCUCACCAAGGCGACGAUACAUAGCCGACCUGAGAGGGUGAUCGGCCACACUGGGACUGAGACACGGCCCAGACUCCUACGGGAGGCAGCAGUAGGGAAUCUUCGGCAAUGGACGGAAGUCUGACCGAGCAACGCCGCGUGAGUGAAGAAGGUUUUCGGAUCGUAAAGCUCUGUUGUAAGAGAAGAACGAGUGUGAGAGUGGAAAGUUCACACUGUGACGGUAACUUACCAGAAAGGGACGGCUAACUACGUGCCAGCAGCCGCGGUAAUA